rnacentral:rRNA from 1 species
UACAGAGGGGGCAAGCGUUGUCCGGAUUUAUUGGGCGUAAAGAGCUCGUAGGCGGUUCGGUAAGUCGGGUGUGAAACCUCCAGGCUCAACCUGGAGACGCCACCUGAUACUGCUGUGACUGGAGUCCGGUAGGGGAGCGUGGAAUUCCUGGUGUAGCGGUGAAAUGCGCAGAUAUCAGGAGGAACACCAGCGGCGAAGGCGGCGCUCUGGGCCGGAACUGACGCUGAGGAGCGAAAGCGUGGGUAGCAAACAGG